UCUGUCGGAGAGAGAAAUUUGUGUUUUGGGUACUUUUGUUAAAUCAUAAGUGUGUUCAACCUAGAUAACAAAGAAACUGUCCGAGUAAGUACGCAAGGAAAUUUUGGAUUUGUAUCUAGAAGCAACAGAUGUGUUGCAGAUGCCUGUAUUCUUCAUAUAUUCAAAAGACACUAUCAAAUUUAAUUCAGAUAGUCUUUGAAUGUUGAUGUAUAAAGGAGUGCAAGUUAAUGCAAGAAUAUUAACUUGAUUUUAGAGGAUGUCAAAAAACUGUUAUCCCUCCUUUGACGGCACAGAAAACACAAGAUUUGGUUGAGGAUAGCUGUUGUAGAGGAAUUGAGAAGGUCUAGUAAAGACGAAACUCAGUUUUCCUCAACCAAGUCUUUUGUGUUCUGUGCGUCAAAGGAGGGAUAUAAGUAUUUUAACAUCCUCUAAAAUGAAGUUUAUUGAAACUCCUUUAAAAUCCAAAUACAACAAAUAUCAAGAAAUAUGAACUUGGGCUCUCGAUAAGCAAGGGCCAACACCUUCGUACAAUCAUUUUAAAACGGCGAAUUUGGAGGAUCGUCUUCUUUGCUUGCUUCAACCUUUGAGACUGAACGGAGCGAGCACCUGCACUUCAAAGACAAGUCUAACCACAUUGAUACGCCUGGCCGAAUGGAAGCCGUGUCUUCGAUUUCUAAAGGCCCGUUUACACUUGCAAUUUUUGCAGCGCGAUUGUCGCGCGACAAUCGCCACUUUGAUCUCGCGCACCUCAAAUCGUACGUGUAAACAGCCCUGCGAUUAUUGUCGCGGCGAUGCCGCUAAAUUUCAAGAAUGUUCGAAACUAUAGGCGAUUGCGCGCGACAAUCGCGCUGCAAAAUUUGCAAGUGUAAACGGGCCUUAAAGCCCCGUCUACACGAGCAAUUUUUAUGUGACAACUAUAUGUGACAAUUUUUUUUCCGUGUGGGCAGGCAGCAAAUAAUUGUUGAAGACUCGCGCCAACUAUGAUUUUGCACAGCGGAGAAGUCAAUAAAUAAAACAAAUUUAAAUACUAUAGCUUCGUAAGAGUACUAGAGAUAAUAAAACUUUAACAAAUACGAUAUAUUUUUAAUCUUAACAUGUUUCAGCAUUACAUUAUGCCAUUCUCAGAAGAAUGGGGAUGAGAAUGAGCAAUUAAAAAUUGUCACAUAAAAAUUGUCCGUGUAGAUGAGGCUUAAUUCAGAGGUCUGAAGUUCAAGACUCAGAGGAGCUGACAUUUCUUUAAUUAGAUUUCUUUCCUUGUCAAAAAAUUAAUAAAUUCAACCAAAUAUAGAUCAGGGAACCCGGUAACUGUAACUUAAUGAGUAAAUUAAUAGAGAACAAUGAGAAUAAAUUAUAAUUCUGAACACAA